rnacentral:rRNA from 1 species
AUUGAACGCUGGCGGCAUGCCUUACACAUGCAAGUCGAACGGCAGCACGGACUUCGGUCUGGUGGCGAGUGGCGAACGGGUGAGUAAUAUAUCGGAACAUACCUUGUAGUGGGGGAUAACUAUCCGAAAGGAUAGCUAAUACCGCAUACGCUCUACGGAGGAAAGUGGGGGAUCGCAAGACCUCAUGCUAUAAGAGUGGCCGAUAUCUGAUUAGCUAGUUGGUGAGGUAAAGGCUCACCAAGGCGACGAUCAGUAGCUGGUCUGAGAGGACGACCAGCCACACUGGAACUGAGACACGGUCCAGACUCCUACGGGAGGCAGCAGUGGGGAAUUUUUGGACAAUGGGGGCAACCCUGAUCCAGCAAUGCCGCGUGAGUGAAGAAGGCCUUC